ACAGACAAGGAAGGCAGGUAUCUUCUAAAAGCUGGAGAAGGCAAGGAAAUGGAUUCUCUGGAGCCCUCAGAAGGGAAUAUAGCUCAGCAGACCCCAUGUUUUUAGCCUGGUGGAAUUUUUGACCUACGGAACCGUAAGAUAAUAAAUUUGUGUUAUCUUAAGCCAAUAAAUUUGUGGUAACUUGUUAUAGCAGCAACAGAAAACUAAUGUGUGCUUGAGGUGGUGUAUUAGAUUGCCAGGGAUGCCAUAGCAAAAUGACACAGACUGGAUGGCUUAAAACAACAGAAAUUUAUUUUCUCAUAGCUUGGAGGCUAGGAGUCCAAGAUCAGGUGCCCACAAAGUUAGUUUCUCCAGAUGCCUCUCUCCUUCUCAUGCAGAUGGCCAUCUUCUUGUUACCUCUUCACGUGUUCCUUUCUCUGUGUGCCCAUCUUUUUGUCUCUUCCUUUUAUAAGGAUACCAGCCAGAUUGGAUUAGAGUCCCACCUUAAUGGCCUCCUUUUAACUUAAUCACUCCAUUAAAGGCCUUAUUUCCAAGUAAAUUCCAAUUCUGAGGGAUUGGGAACUAGGCUUCGGCAGUAUGAAUUUGCAAGAGACACAAUUCCACCCAUAAUGUGUGGACAAUCUCAUUCACUUUCCAAAGUCACCCAGUGAAUUAGAACCAUGAUUAUCAUAAUUUCAUAGGUAAGGAAACAGGCACAGAAAGGUUAAGUUACUCACCCAAAUUUACACAGCAAGUAAGUGGCAAGACCAGUCUGGGAAUUGACUGUUUAUAUACUUCACCCAUUUUUCUAUGAGGUGAUUUGUCUUUUUGGUUUGCACCUUUUUGGUGCACAGGUGUUCAGUAAGCAUUGAUUGAUUGAAGGAAUGAAUGGGAGCAGUUCCCAGGACUCCUAGAAGAACAUGGGCCAGGCUGGGCCAAGCUUGGGUUUCCCUUCCUACCUCUCCAGGUUAGCAAUACUUACCCCCAGGAGAAAACCAAAAGACAAGCAGGAGGUGGGUGUCCACAGAGGAUGGUGGGAGUGGGAAGGUACCACCCUCUAUUCAUCAACUGAACAAAAUCCCGGGAGACUUUCUGGAGGAGGGCGAUGGUCUGGUGUCUCCUAACCCUCGGGGAAUCAUGGCAGACAAUUUUGUAGCUUGGGGUAUCCCAUGGACAGUCCUGGGGUGCUAGUGCCGAAUCUCUCUACCUCCAAUUCCACAUUCCAGGUUGCAGGUACUCAGGUGUCUCAAGAGAGCUCUUCCUCAAUAUGAAAAAUCUAGGCCAGCUGCAAAGAAGAGACGGUAGAUGUCUCUGCCAGCUGUCUCCUGGACAUUGGCAGGUGGCCAACACUCACAACCCAGGCAGGGCUUGCCUUGACCUGGCCUGACAAUUCAUUCUGGUCACUGUGGCAAAGGGGAUAGCUACCCAGGAGGCUUAGGCAGGUCUGUGGCUAGCUGCCCAAAUCAAUGGGAAUGCCCCAGUUACCUCUCAGGGAGGGCAAAUAAUGAUGGCCUCAACACAAUCAGCCCUCAGAUCAGAGCUCCAGAAGAACUUCCCAUGUCAGACCUUGCAAUGGUUCAGGGGCUACUAUACUCACCCACAGCCCUGCUUCUUGACCCCUUCUCUCUACUCCAUUCUAGUCUGACAUGGAUUAGGUAGUAGAGACACUCAGCAAAAACUCUGUCUUGAUCCAAUAUGGUGCUCAGAGUGGGGAAUCUGGGGUCCGAAUAGAAGCUGGAUAAUUCCCAUGUCUGCAUAGGCUCUUGGUGUGAAGAAGUGUCAAUAUCAUGGAGUCCAUUCUUCCUACUUGGUAUUCUAAGGGUUGAGUUUCCUAUAUAACAUUUCCAGAGCAGAGUGGUUACUCAGUCUUUGCCUGAACUCCUCCAGUGAUAGGGACCUUACCACCUUACAAAGCAGCUAGUUGUAUCCCCCGGCAGUUCUCAUUGCUGGAGAGUUCAUCUUUACAUGAUCCUUCCUUACACCGUGUUGCAUCUGUUUCCUGCUCUCUCCGUGUAUGGUCCCCACAGAAGAUGGCCAUUCCCUGUUCUUCAUGGCUUUUCGGAGAUUUGAAGGUAGCUACUGGGUCACUUCCUCUAAGAAAGAACAUCAUGGGGGUUAGCAGGAGGAAAAUCCAGUCCUUUCAGACCUCAGGGAGGGUUUGCCCUGCUACAGAGAAACUGCUUUUCUAUCCUUCUCUAUGGGCCUGUGCACGGGCCCAGGGCAACAAUAUGGUGAGUCUCUAGGCUCUUUGGACUACAGACACAUAGCAAGCACAUAGCCUUGCUAGGUGGGAGAACCUCAGCCUACUGUCUUCGUCCCAGGGGAGUGUUUCUGGGUCCCGGGAACCUGGCGAUAAGGACAUGGUGUCCUAGAGAGAGACAGCUCUGUACUCAGAAUUUGACCACAAGGCCCCCAUCUUGGUUCCACCCCUUCCUGGUUGGGAUCCUAUAAGCAGGUUGCCUAAAUUCUGAGCUUUAGUUUUGCCCUUUGUAAAAUGGGAAAAUAUCUCAUUGUGUUGCUAUGAGGAUCAAAUGACAUCAUAUAUAGGAAGAUGCUUUGUCAACCAAAACAUACUCUACAAAUGAUUAGCCAAUUCAAGUGGUUAGUAAAAGGGCUUGCAGAGCUUAGAGCUUCUUUGGUCUGGGCCUUCCUAGCGGAUGAGUGUCUGGAGCACAGCUGGUUUUAAGAAGGCUUCUGACUCCUUCUCAAACCCCAUGGCUGGUCUGUGGCACCUGGAGGGGCUCUCUACUGAGGGUUCAUGGCCCCCAUCCUGUAUGACUCCUGCAGAGCCGCUGUGCCCACAUCUCCAGAGAGGACUCCGGCCCAAGUACCUUAGCCCAGGCUUUGGAGACCUGGAAAGAGUGGUUUCUCCAUCCUGAAACACCCUAAUAAAGUCCUUACAUGUAAUGCAUCACUCUUGUCUUGAGCAAUCUGAAGGACAUCACGGUGGAUCCCAAGCAACAUGUUGAUAUCCUCACGGAGCCAAGCUCGGGGGUGAGCCCUGUUCCCCACACAGGAGUGAUCGUCUGGCAGCAGAGGCUCAGGGUGAGGACGCCAUCUUGCCCUGGUUGCAAAGGACAUUGAGGUGAGGCUGCCUCAGCCUUCACUGUCCUGGCCUUUCUUUCCACGCCAUCCGUGCCCCGACUCCACCCGUAUUAGGUAAUAUUAUCCACGUUACACAAAUGAGGAAACUGAGGCUUCAGAGGUUUACAACUUGGGCUCCAUCACCCGACUAGUGAGCGAGGGAGGCAAACUUCGAAUCCAGAUCCGACAGCUAGCUCCAUGCUCUCCACUGGAUCAUCCUGCCACGGAAAGUCUACACCAGCCUGGGGAUUACAGCCUAGAACACCUCAUCUGGGCUGCUAACCUCAGAUAGAGAUCAAAGAGACAUUGUCAUGGGAGAAUGGCUUUUUGAGAUCAGAGCCUCUUACCAGCUGAAUUGUAUUUCACCCCCCUUCCCCAAAUUCAUAUGUUGAAGUCCUAAUGUGACUGAAUUUGGAGACAGGGUCUUUAAAGAGCUAAUUAAGUUAAAAGGAGGUCAUCUGGGCCCUAAUCCCAUGUGACUGGUAUCCUUAUAAGAAGAGAUCAGCACACAGCCACAGGGAAGGCCAUGUGAAGACACAGAGAGAAGGCAGCCAUCGGGAAAACCAAGGGGAGAGCCUUCAAAACUCCUGAAGACACCUUGAUCUUGGACAUCUCUCCCCAGAACUGUGAGAAAAUAAAUAUCUGUGUUUAAGCCAUCCGGUCGGUUAUGGCAGCCCUUCAAAUUAACUCAGAGCCCCUUUUAAAAAAUCAUCUUUGUGGGGCGCCUGGGUGGCUCAGUCGGUUAAGCGUCCAACUUCAGCUUGGGUCAUGAACUCGCGG